CUCAACUAGGGCUUCACAGUUAUCCUCUUUCCACAUAUCAACCUUGCCGUCUUUGGUUUUCUUACUCUCUGCAGAGCUAAUGUUUCUCCUCUUAUCUCUUUACCUUCCCCUGAAUUGGGCCAUCUCAGUCUCCCCUCUCACUGUAUUAUAACCUGUUACUGGCUCAAUCAAUAUCAUGUCCGUUUUCAAUUACCUCUUUUAUCUCCCAUUCACUCUCUUUCUCAACUUAUCUCCUCAGAUCAAAUCUCAACAGUUUUUAAACCUAAAUGGACUCUCUAUAGAUAGUAUAGGCCGCAGUCGUGAAGCCAAUAUUUCACACGCUCAUUCUGAGUAUCCCUCCGCAAAAACUUUUUUUCAAGCAGCACGAAAAUCUCUACUUCUGAUAAUAUCUCUAUCGAAGCCGCUGUCCCACUCCACCUUCGACGAUCUCUGUCCUGGCCGCUCUGCGCAUAUGAUUGUUGGCCGCCUCCUCCCCUUCUUGGAUUCCCAGAGCAUCAGGAAAGAUGGUGGUAUCAUCUUUCUGCUACAAAAUGAGACGGUACAAUGUCUACCAAACAUUCCCUCUUGACUCCAUCAAACAGACGUCUCCGAAAGCUCUUACAAAAGAUUACAUGUGUUUCCCAGUCGUUAUUCAAUUCAGAAAACCCUAGCUUUCUCACUCGGCCUAGAUCUUUCAAUCCCUUUUGGAGAUGUUGUUGAAGCUGUUGUGCCUCACAUGGUUGAAUCAAUCAACGAUGGAACAAAUUGAAACUGCCAAGGUGCUAAACAGUUACUUGCUUUAUUCUCUCUUUAUGUUCUUCGUUUUUUUCCUCUACAUGUUUAAUGUUUUUCAGGUUUCUGGUGUAGUUUUUAUAAAUUAGGUUUGAUUCUUCUACGUGCUUUAGGCGACGAUAGAUAUUGCUAGCCCAGAAAGUGGUAUGAUCCAAGAGGUAAAAUAUUUAUGUUCUUUUAGUUCCAAUGGCUCUUCUCCUCCUCCCAAGCCUUCUCCAACUGCUGAAUAACCCAAGGUUGAAAGUAAUAAAUUUGCGGAGAAACCCAAGGCAUCAUCAGCGCCACCACCGACGACUAAACAGUCAACGAAAGUUUUAAAGAGAACACUUGGACUAUGGGAAAAAACUUCGGAUGCCCGGAUGGAGUCCUCCUCAGUGGAAAGGGUCCUUACAAGUACAACAGACAACAGUAGUGUACCUGAUGGAAUUGAUUACUUGACCGCUCAUGUUGAACUUGGUACUAAGAGUUUUUCUGUCACUUUUCUCAUGAGACGGAAGACUUUUUUCAUGCAACUUUUCCUUUGUGGGGGAAAACAUUCAAAACUUGAAGCUCGCGUUGUUUGGUUUCUCUACAAUAGCUUUUAGUAAAAGUUUAUUAUAACAAUAAUUUUGUUCGAUCAGAUUCAUAUAAAUUACUUUAUGGUAAUUUCUUUUCUCUGUAGUUUGACACCGUAUAUGUGGAGUUGAUGUUGUUCUCUGCUGUGGUGUGUGUUUUUCCAAAUGUUGCAAUGAAAUAAAAUUGAGUUUGGGAGUCUAAGUGAGUUCAUUUC